rnacentral:siRNA from 1 species
AUUCGUUGCUUUGGGUGCUUCC